UACAGAGGUCUCAAGCGUUGUUCGGAUUUACUGGGCGUAAAGGGCGCGUAGGCGGCAAAUUAAGUCAGCUGUGAAAUCUCCGAGCUUAACUCGGAACGGUCAGCUGAUACUGAUCUGCUAGAGUGCGGAAGGGGCAAUCGGAAUUCUUGGUGUAGCGGUGAAAUGCGUAGAUAUCAAGAGGAAUACCUGAGGUGAAGACGGGUUGCUAGGCUGACACUGACGCUGAGGCGCGAAAGCCAGGGGAGCAAACGGG
rnacentral:rRNA from 1 species